GUCAUCAUUAUGAGGCAUUGGCAAAACUUCCGGCAUACACAUCCACCGGUGCAACGUAUUCAUUUGGUAACAUGGACCCCCUUGCAACGCCGUCGAAUAACCGUAACGGCGCUUCCAAUUCCUCCUUGUUCUUCCCUCCAAAUAGAGGCAUGAAUCACAUUCAAGAUUACACAACAAAGUGAAAGGGGGGAAACCAAUAUUUCAUAUCAAUGUUCCACUUCUUCAUUUGCAGCAUGUGUUAUUUCAAAAUGUGAAAUAUACAUCCUGGCAGAAAUCGCAAAACCUAUUAUGUGCUCUGCAUCAUCUUCUUUACCACAUGCCUUCGAUAUUGAUUUUGAUUGUUCUUUGUAUCGACUCUAAUACCAAUUGUAGAGAAUUGGAACACAUGACCAGAGAUUUUUGGUGACGGUGGUGAAACGAUGGGGAAUCGGUGGAUGAAGUUGACGCGUCUGUUUGAUUCUUUUCGGAAGGCGGAUGGGUUUGGUUGUUGACGGUUUCUGAAAGUUUCUAUUGAAUGUUUUGAAUGCGGAAAGUAAGGACGGUUUUUUAUGUGUUUCGACGAUGGUUUUUAUGAAUGUUUCAAAGACACGGGGGUUUGUUUUGUUCAGUCGGUUCCACUUAAUUUAUUUGUGAUUAAGAUUUUGAACAACGUGACCCUUCACAACUUAAACCCAUAGUACCUUUUAACAAAAGGAUACAACGUUUCUGAAGGAUAAGACUUUAUAUGCAUUAAAUUAAAAUGACAGCCUUUCAUUUUAGAAAAUAUUUUGAAUUAAUAGCUUUUCUAACAGAUGUGUCUUUUAUUUAAGGGGUGUAACUCAAGUUACUUUUUGUAGGGUUAUUAAUUUGGGUAUAUUAUGAGAAUUAUAUGAUUCUAGUGGAACUUGAUGAUCUUGAUAUGAACUUGUAAUAUUAUGCAUAAAAUACUUGUACAUUAGGCUUAGAAAGUAGUACGCACACCAAGUGUUUGAUGAAAUGUCUAAAUGGAAAUGAUGUGUGAAAUUGUAUGCAAGUAAUAGGUAAUUAUAUAUAGAACGUGAUAAUAAUGUAUUUGAUAGUAAACUAACAUGAGAAGUGCGUUUUAGAUAUAGUUCAUGCGGAGGCUAUGUUGAAAUGAUGUUGGGUUAGCUAAGUAUGAGUUAAGGUGUUAGCUGUGAAGAUAUGAAAACGCUAGUGUGGAAGGAAUGGAUUAUGUAUGUACAUGUUUAUAUAAUUAGGUAAUCAUGUACUUGAAUAUGUCAUAUAAUACGAUCAUGAAAUGCGUAUAAUGUUAAUACUAUGCUCUACCAUAUUAAGAUGGAUACAUGUUCAUAAGUUGAAAGUGUGUAAGUAAGACAGUUGACUUUUUGAAAGUCAACAAUGAAUGAAUAACAUGGUUAGCCUUUCAGACACAAUUAUAAUAGUAGAGAAGUAAUGUGUUAUGUACUAGAUGAUCUACAUGUCGUGUACGAUGAUGAUUGAGUUGCGUGAAUGUGGAACAAGGUAACUUUUAGUCUAUGCCUUAUGUAUGUGGUAUUUGGUUAAUAAAAAUGCAAGUAAUAUAUGAAUGGAAGGAAAUGAAUGUUAGUAUGAAUGAGCAUUUGUGCUAACCAUAAUGUGAUUGUAAUGACAUGAAAGGAUAGGGAUUACAUUAGCAUGGACUCAAGAACGGAACGCUAACGAGUCAAGAGGAGGCGAGGAAGCAAGCUUGAACACGAACGCUUAAGGUACAUUAUUGAAGCAUCACCAGGAAAUGGAUACGCAGAUGAAAUGCUUAAAGUUUGAAAGAAUACGAAAUGUGAAGUGUACGCGAAUGAAUCUUGUUAUUAUAAUGUGUGCUAAUGUUAUGAAUGUAUGUGGUGAGUGCAGGUUGUACGGAUAACGGGCGAUUAUCACAAGGAUUAGAGAUCGAAGACCGAGUCACAAGAUAGAUUGUACGGGAAUAAUUGAGUAUGUACUAUUAGUAAACAGGACUUAUGCUUUAUCUUUGUAAAAGAUACAUAUUACAACGAACUUUCAAGUAAGUCAAGACGUUU
rnacentral:lncRNA from 1 species